CUAUGAGAUGGGUCGAAGGUGGACGUUCUGUCACCAGAUCUUGACAUGGUAUCUAACUUUGAACACCUCCUGAAAAAGGGCACACAUUUCACACAGUCAUUUCAUAGGCAUUCUUUAUUCCCGUGACAAACACUGCGAUCGGCACACUGUGCGAACGGAAGUCACCCUGCAUGUUUGCCCUAAUAAACAUUAAAGAAACACAUCAGGUACAAAUCGCGGGGCCUUUUGCGUUCAAGGUUUGUUUUUUUUUGCCUAAGCAGACCGCAAAUGAAAUAGUUAAAGUUGCAUGUUUAAAGCAAAAACGACCGAUAAAUGCAAAAAGACCCGUGUAGUUGUUUGCUAUAAGUGGGUGUAAUAACAGACGUCAGGGGUCAGAUUCUUAACAGAAAUAAACUUCAAAAAUCGGAAGCAGCGCCUUACUAAGUAAAGCCGCCGAGCUUCCAUGGUGCAUAUUACAUGCACGGAUCUCCUCUUUAAAUUUAGCAGUGGCCCCUUGUCUAAGCAAGCUCCUGUCCAUGGAUCCUCACAUUCCUGUUUUUUCACCAAGGCACCUGUCACAGCCUCAUCUCCCCAGUGUUUCCCACUCGUCACCAACGCAGAGGCCACAAACUUACCUGUAUACACUGGGCUGCAAACUAGCGUCCACUUCGAUCGGAUCCUCACUUUUAUAUUAUUUUUUCUCCUUUUUUCUUUGCUUCGAUCCCCCAGUAAAAUCCGGAUCCGAUCAAGCUCCACGCGUUGCAACUUCAGCAGUUACGCUUGCGAGGUUUUUUUGUCGUUCAUCAUUUGAUAUACUGUCUCCAGAAUUAGCAACAGCAAGAAGUCUGAGAGCAGCUUUCGCAAAAAAAAUGUACGUGUGACAAAUUAUGCUACCAAGAAACAACACAUCAUUAUCCUUGGGCCUGGGAUUCAGUGAGUCGUAACAAGAGUAAUAGGAAAUCCACGGUUGGGGAGAGAAACGGUCGUGCAUCGCCAGUGAAGAGUGACCAUGGAGGGGCUGGAUGCUGGAGAGAGUUUUAAAAUUAUGGCUCAAGGCUAUUGUAAAAUUGUCGUGCGUAAAUGACUGCGCAGUCAAACAUCUUAGAAAAGCAGUCCCCUUUAUAAAGAACCGUCAAGUUUUAGUGCGCAUUGCUAAUUAGUCAAUUUCUCUUUCCUUCACAGCCUAGCGACUUCAGCUGAGCUGAAACUGCUAAUUCUGUGACCACGCUUCUCUCUCUGGGUGAAUGAAUAUCUCACAGGGAAAAAAAAAGACUCUGUCCCACAAAAUAUUUUUCUCCUCAUCUUUCACAUGCAUGGAUUUAUGAAGGUGGAUGAACAAUGCAAUCUUCAGAUGAUGGCACAAACUUUCUUACCAUUUUAUUGCCUAUGCAGUUGCAUAAGAUGACAAACCAGCACUGUACUGCCUGCAAUAAUGAAUUGCACGGAUUCUAUCCCAUUAAUACUGUUGAUGCAUUGAAACAAAGAAAUGAUUAUCCACUUGAUAUUACGAUCGCUGGAAAUUAUCAGAUUGUCUUGUUAAUGUCUUGGUAAUACUGACAUUUUGUUAUUAAGACUUUCUCUUUCAAUUGCAUCAGAUGACAUACAUUGUCAGACUAACACUGCUAUAAUGAAUUAGUCUAGUUUAUAUUACACUAACACCAUUGCGGCAUAAAAGCAAAGUUAUUAUCCCACUCCUAUCAUAUUAAUUUAAUAUAAAACAGAUUGUCUUUAUAGUGUAUCCAAGUACAGGGGGGGAAACACAAAGAGCACGUCUCAUCGUUGCUGAACUGAAUAAAACAAAAUGUAUGGGA